UGGGUAACCUGCCUCAAAGAGGGGAAUAGCCUCCCGAAAGGGAGAUUAAUACCGCAUAAUAUGUUUAAGUCGCAUGACUUUAACAUCAAAGGAUUUUCUUUUAGAACUUCCACUUUGAGAUGGACCCCGCGGCGCAUUAGCUAGUUGGUGAGGUAACGGCUCACCAAGGCAACGAUGCGUAGCCGACCUGAGAGGUGAUCGGCCACAUUGGAACUGAGACACGGUCCAGACUCCGUAGGAGG
rnacentral:rRNA from 1 species